rnacentral:rRNA from 1 species
UACGUAGGGGGCUAGCGUUGUCCGGAAUCAUUGGGCGUAAAGAGCGCGUAGGCGGCCAGAUAAGUCCGGUGUGAAAGUCACAGGCUCAACCUGCGAAUGCCGCUGGAAACUGUAUGGCUAGAGUCCGGAAGGGGCGAGUGGAAUUCCUGGUGUAGCGGUGAAAUGCGCAGAUAUCAGGAGGAACACCAAUGGCGAAGGCAGCUCGCUGGGACGGUACUGACGCUGAGGCGCGAAAGCGUGGGGGAGCAAACAGG